GACGAACGCUGGCGGCGUGCUUAACACAUGCAAGUCGAACGGAAAGGCCCUGCUUUUGUGGGGUGCUCGAGUGGCGAACGGGUGAGUAACACGUGAGUAACCUGCCCUUGACUUUGGGAUAACUUCAGGAAACUGGGGCUAAUACCGGAUAGGAGCUCCUGCUGCAUGGUGGGGGUUGGAAAGUUUCGGCGGUUGGGGAUGGACUCGCGGCUUAUCAGCUUGUUGGUGGGGUAGUGGCUUACCAAGGCUUUGACGGGUAGCCGGCCUGAGAGGGUGACCGGCCACAUUGGGACUGAGAUACGGCCCAGACUCCUACGGGAGGCAGCAGUGGGGAAUAUUACACAAUGGGAGGAAGCCUGAUGCAGCAACGCCGCGUGCGGGAUGACGGCCUUCGGGUUGUAAACCGCUUUCGCCUGUGACGAAGCGUGAGUGACGGUAAUGGGUAAAGAAGCACCGGCUAACUACGUG
rnacentral:rRNA from 1 species